CAGUAGCCACGGUAAAACGGAGGGGGCUAGCGUUGUUCGGAAUUACUGGGCGUAAAGCGCACGUAGGCGGCUUGGUAAGUUAGAGGUGAAAGCCCGGAGCUCAACUCCGGAAUUGCCUUUAAGACUGCCGAGCUAGUAGGUGAGGGAGGUAAGUGGAAUUCCGAGUGUAGAGGUGAAAUUCGUAGAUAUUGGGAAGAACACCGGUGGCGAAGGCGGCGACCUGGUCCAUUACUGACGCUGAGGCGCGAAAGCGUGGGGAGCAAACAGGAUUAGAGACCCCAGUAGUCCCUGUCUCUUAUAC
rnacentral:rRNA from 1 species